GGCUUUAUAUUCAAUUAUGAUUUUAAAUUGCAAAUUUAAAGGUGAUUACAUCUAAUGCCU
rnacentral:tRNA from 1 species